rnacentral:rRNA from 1 species
UACAGAGGGCGCAAGCGUUAAUCGGAAUUACUGGGCGUAAAGCGCGCGUAGGUGGUUUGUUAAGUUGGAUGUGAAAUCCCCGGGCUCAACCUGGGAACUGCAUUCAAAACUGACAAGCUAGAGUAUGGUAGAGGGUGGUGGAAUUUCCUGUGUAGCGGUGAAAUGCGUAGAUAUAGGAAGGAACACCAGUGGCGAAGGCGACCCCCUGGACUGAUACUGACACUGAGGUGCGAAAGCGUGGGGAGCAAACAGG